UGCUUACCCAUGCAAGUCGAACGGUGAUGGAGGAGCUUGCUCUUCCUGAUCAGUGGCGAACGGGUGAGUAACACGUGAGUAACCUGCCCCUUGACUCUGGGAUAACUUCGGGAAACCGUGGCUAAUACCGGAUAUGAGAUGCGACCGCAUGGUCUGUGUCUGGAAAGUUUUUCGGUCAAGGAUGGACUUCGCGGCCUAUCAGCUUGUUGGUGAGGUAAUGGCUCACCAAGGCGUCUACGGGUAGCCGGCCUGAGAGGGCGACCGGCCACUCUGGGACUGAGACACGGCCCAGACUCCUACGGGAGGCAGCAAUGGGGAAUAUUGCACAAUGGGCGAAAGCCUGAUGCAGCGACGCCGCGUGAGGGAUGAAGGCCUUCGGGUUGUUAAACCUCUUUCAUUAAGGAAGAAGCGAAAGUGACGGUACCUGCAGAA
rnacentral:rRNA from 1 species